rnacentral:rRNA from 1 species
UACAGAGGUCUCAAGCGUUGUUCGGAUUCAUUGGGCGUAAAGGGCGCGUAGGCGGCGGAGUCAGUCGGGUGUGAAAUCUUGGGGCUUAACCCCGAAACGGCACUCGAAACUGCCCGGCUGGAGGGCCGGAGAGGAGAUCGGAAUUCACGGUGUAGCAGUGAAAUGCGCAGAUAUCGGGAGGAACACCGGUGGCGAAGGCGGUUCUCUGGGCCUUACCUGACGCUGAGGAGCGAAAGCGUGGGGAGCGAACAGG